rnacentral:rRNA from 1 species
ACCGAGUGAGGGCCCUCUGGAUCCAACCUCCC